UUUUUUUUGUACUUUACAGCUGGAAUAGUAGAUUUUUAUAUUUACUAUUCCGUCUGAAGAUCCACUAUUUCUUAAUGUAAUGUUUCUGAGAGCCCGUUCAUGCAGGGUCUGCACUAAUGUUCUGGUUUUCACGAAAUCAUCCUUGAGCCUCCUAAAGUGAACUGAAUAAUUGAAUAACAAAAAAUAAACAUGUACAGUGCAUUGCUUUGUACAGUGAUGAAUAAAUUAUUAAUAAAAAACAAAGUUCAAACACGGAAAUGAACUUGCGAAUUUUGUUGCGUAUUUUCCGCCCAAUUAACUUUCAAAAACUAAAAAAUCGUGUCACAUUGUCAAAUCGCGUCCAGUGUGUGUAUAUGGACCUUUAUUGUCCAGUUCGCAACGAACUUGAGAACUGCGCGUUGAAAAGUGACUUGAAAUCGACAAUAUUACUGCAAAGAAAUUAGAAUAUGCAAGUAUUGCAAGUGAACAGGAACUUAGCUACGUGGUGGAACAGUGGCUCAAAGUCCGGUAUAAAGUGAUAUAUUAUACAAGAGGAAAACUCUUGCUUGUCAAUAUUUGGUACCAAUAUUUGGUAUACAAACAGAAUACUGUGAUCAUGAAGUUUACUAUUCCGUCAGGCAUUUUAGUAUAUUCGGAAUAGCGGGGAUUUCUACCCCUGACUAACACAGAUCAACGCUUGGGCUCCUGUGCCCAAAUGCUUUGAGAUAUGAUGUAUAAUAUAUAGAUUAUAUGUAUUUAAUACAACUAUAUGGUAAGAUAGGAAUUUGAAUAAGUUUUUAGUAGGCAUAACUUAGGAUUUUUGUUAGAUGUUAGGGUUUGUAAUCCAAGUGAGAAUAUAUACAUUUAAGACCUAACCAGGAACGACUAGCUACAGUAUUUGAAUUGUAAUUGUUGUUCACAGUUCGCUUAUCAUCAUGUUAUUACUCAAAUUACUGAAUCUCAUUUUGUCUCUGAUAAUUUUUUG